UAAACCAUCCUCUGUAAGACUGCAAGUGCCC
rnacentral:piRNA from 1 species